AGAAGAGAGAACGAAAGAGAGAAUAAUAAUAAAUUAAAAAAAAAAAAAAACAAACAUGUAUGAAGUUGAAAGAGAGAAUAGCGGCGUUGUCAUGGAGACGCCGAGUAGCAGGUAGGCAAAGAAAAUUUAAUAAAGCAGUCUUGUGAGAUAUUUCGACGGAAAAGAACGCGUUUUAUUUCCUAGUGAAAUCGUCUUUGAAGAAUCUACCCGAACCAGACAAAAGGCCUGAUAAUGGAGUCCCCUCGUUUCGGACACGACAUUGGCGCAAGAUCAACUCCCAAAAAGUGAGUACCGUGACAAUUAGUGUGAAAUUAUAAUUGCGUACAUAAAACUGCUGUACAUAGGUGAAUGAUGUCCACCAUGUACAGAUAUUUGCGUUCCGGAAUGGAUUCUAAUGCAUAUCCACCAGAAACAGAGACACGAACACAUAAAUCAAUCUUUUCAUUAAUAAAAUAGCAAUGAAAUUUCAUUUUCCACAUUCUAGUAGUUCAGAAGUUAUUUUUUUUUCACUUGGAGUAGCUGUUUGCACAUAAUCAUUGUUCUGGAAUGUUCCAUUUUUUUCCUCCAACAUUCAAUGCGGAUGCGGGAAAUUACCGUUAAUGAUGUUGCUUCAUGUGUUAGAGUAAGAAAGAAAAUUUUCAUGCCUUGCGAAAUUUUCGUUCGUUAGCAGGAAAUAACUGUAACUUAGCAACCGUUAUUUACCACUUGUCCAUAAACACAUACACAUAUGUACACGAUGGAAGGGUUAGAAUCACUUCGUUACCAAAACAAAGAGCUGAUAGCCGACGACAAACAUUUUCAUUGCAAGGUGGUUCACUUCGCGGUUUUGAUAAUGAGUUUUCAUUACCGCAGAUGCAUAUUUGAGGAUUUUCUUUAGCAUUUCGACAUCGCACAACCAUCCCAUCUUAUUUUCAUCCAAAACAAAGAGUCCGUUCAGUACCGUUUUGUCAAAUGGUUGAAUAAACGCAAUUCUUAUUGGAAUAAAACACUGAGUUGAUGUACAAGAUUUUCCAAUAGGGUAUCGGAAGAAAGUUGUAGUAGUGAGUUGUUUUUCAUGUUAUCUGUCCGGGUUAGCUAUCAGCACAGACGAAUUUAUACAGACGUAAGAGUGCGGUACAAACCACUAAAAAUUUUCGGUACCAUGUUUUCUUCUUCUUUCUUAUUCCUAAAUUCACCGAGGGGACUUGUGAUUACCAUUUUGCGGUAGUUUUUACGCAUUGGUUUACCCCUCUUACAUGAUUUUUUUGACAUUCUGCCUCUCAUGCUUCUUCCGCUUUUUUGUUUUGGUCCGGUCCAACUUGUGUGGAAUUAAAACAAAACAAUAAUUUUCGUGCGUGAUUCGAUGAACGUUUUUUUCAAUAUUUCGGAGUGAUCUACCGGUAAAUUAAGUACGCGCGGUAAGCGUUCAGUGUUCUUGUGUCGGAACGAAUUACGACGUCGCCGAAAGAGCGGUAGCGCAAGCAAAACAAGUGUUUCCUGUCUGGACAAUCUUCCACCGAUGGAGAGCGUGCUGCAGUAAUAAUGAUACCAAGAUAAUCCACAAAAUCUUAGUGUCGACGUUUUUUGCCCCAGCGACGAGUGCUGGGGGGAGUAAUGGGCUGCCGAUGACACCGAAUUCGUUUGAAAUUUACGAGGGAUCGAAGCUGUUGCGUGCGGAUGCAAUGAAGCAUGAAAAUUUUGCGAAUAUCUGGACACUGCGAGGGAAACGAGAAAGGACGAUUAUUGUGCAGGAGUAUACCGGAAGUUCGCAGACGGAAACUAUUACUGGGAGCAAUCAAGUUUAUUUCGUAUCAGGUGAUUAUUUCAUCUGAAUCGGAAUAAGUUGAUGUGCCGGUAUGUACUUGAAGCCAGUAAAAUAUUCGGCGGAACUUGGAACCAGUGAAUUUCGGCGUGAAUGUGUAAUACAUUGUGUAUAAUAUUUAAUGGAACUGACCUUGGGCUGUAAACUGUGGAAGAACAUCAACCCAAACUGUCAAGAGUGCUGAGUCUACUAACACGGAAAGUGUCCUGGAAUGAACCGCUCUCGAGCACAAGAAGCAGCACCAGAAGCGUUUUCUGCCGUUGCCGUACCGAGACUUCCCUAGCCCGUGGAAUUUGUGGGAGAUGAAGCGUUUGAAGCGGGGAAAUUUUCAGGGCACCGGAUCCGGAAGGGGUGACGCUGCUGGAGAAGCACUGUGGCAGUUUGGCGUAAAUCUAUUUCAUGUGGAAAGUGGCCGAUGUUCGGCUGGAACUGGGAAAGACAUCGAUUUGUCGCUGCUCAAAUCAUAUUGAAUGAAAACCUUAAGUACAGAAAGACCUGUGGUGAAUUCGCCCUGCCAUCCCCUGAAAUAAAAGAACUUGAGCAUCCGGCUUCGCUACGAUUCCCGCUCCACUAUACACCGCGGUAAUGUAAUGUACAGUGACCCCUGCGAUGAAGCGGUAAGGUAAUUCCAAGUCAGACCGAAAGAGAAAAAUCCUUCAAAAACCAUCGUUACCAUAUCCACCAGUUCUAAGACUGUAAGAUGCAGACAAAGCCGGCUUUUCAACUUGUUCUAUGAGCACAGAUACCUAUUAACCCUUAAGGCAGUGAUAUUCCUGGAAUAUUCAUCAAACACUCCAGGGACCAGACCAGCUGCUGCUAGUGAAGUGCCAUUUCCUGGAGAAACUAUUUCGCGUCCUGAAAUACCAUAACCAUAAUGUUGUUCCAAUAAUCAUACAUGUUUCUUGUUUUAGAAUGGUCAAUCAAUAAAAUGCGGCGCUGGGGUUG